rnacentral:rRNA from 1 species
GUCAUACCACCUCAGGCUGUGAUCUCAUUUGAUUUCACAAGCUAAGAAAGGUUAGACCUAGUCAGUGCUUGGAUAGAAGACUGCCAAGGAAAACAAACAAAACC